UAAACGACUCUCGGCAACGGAUAUCUCGGCUCAUGCAUCGAUGAAGAACGUAGCAAAAUGCGAUACUUGGUGUGAAUUGCAGAAUCCCGUGAACCAUCGAGUUUUUGAACGCAAGUUGCGCCCGAAGCCAUUCGGCCGAGGGCACGUCUGCCUGGGCGUCACGC
rnacentral:rRNA from 4 species